GCGGGAGUAGUUCAGUGGUAGAACAACAGCCUUCCAAGCUGUAUAUGGGGGUUCGAUUCCCCUCUCCCGCU
rnacentral:tRNA from 2 species